CGACUAGAGUUUGAUCCUGGCUCAGAGCGAACGCUGGCGGCGUGCUUAACACAUGCAAGUCGAGCGAGAAAGGGGGCUUCGGCCCCUGAGUACAGCGGCGAACGGGUGCGUAAUACAUGAGUAAUCUACCCUUGAGGCGGGAAUAACCCAGCGAAAGUUGGGCUAAUACCGGAUAAGACCACAAGAGGAGACUCUAGGGGUUAAAGGCAGCCCUCUUUUGGGGGCGGCCCUUUGAGGAGGGGCUCAUGUCCUAUCAGCUAGUUGGUAGGGUAACGGCCUACCAAGGCGAAGACGGGUAGCUGGUCUUAGAGGAUGAUCAGCCACACGGGGACUGAGACACGGCCCCGACUCCUACGGGAGGCAGCAGUGGGGAAUAUUGGGCAAUGGGCGCAAGCCUGACCCAGCGACGCCGCGUGGGUGAUGAAGGCCUUCGGGUCGUAAAGCCCUGUCGGGAGGAAAGAACGAUCUUGGGGGGAAUAUCCCCAAGGUGUGACGGUACCUCUGAAGGAAGCACCGGCCAAUUCCGUGCCAGCAGCCGCGGUAA
rnacentral:rRNA from 1 species